GUUCCACACAGUUGCGUACGUUCAGCAAAUCUGGUGGUUCGAGGUGGGUGGUGAAAUCAAAUUUCACUUGCCAGCUGGUACAUACAGCCUCUUCUUCCGAUUCCAUCUUGGACGCCCUUCCUCCAAGAAACUUGGUCGCCGGGUUUGGAGCCCCGAACACAUCCAAGGGUGGGAUAAAAAGCCGGUGCAGUUUCAGCUAUCGACCUCAAAUGGAGAGCAUGUAGUCUCCGAGUGCAUUUUAGACAAACCUGGGAGUUGGAUUCAUUACUGUGUAGGCGAUUUUGUUGUCGAGAAAUCAGAUGUUCU
rnacentral:misc_RNA from 1 species